CAAAAUAAGGAUUUGUAGCUUCUUUAUAAGCUAUAGAGCUAACAAAAUCCAAGACGAGUUCUAAAUUAUUUACAAGGGUCAUUUGGACCAGCUAAAGAGGCUAACCAGACACCUGCCUCGGAAAAGAUUACUGGAAGUUGAAAUUCCAUGAAAACAUCUUUUGUUUCUCUCUAUCCAUAAACACCAAAAUAUAGCACCCGGGAUCAUCAUCCAAAUACUCUUGAUGGCUUUGUCAACUUCCCGUGAACUCCAAUUUUCAAGAGCAUGCCUAACAGAGAAAAGCGUGACCCGAAGAAAGACCAAAAAAAACAACAGCACCUAUUCCAAAGGUCCGAGGCAACUGGACAGUGCAGCAGCAAGUGGUUGACACUUUCUGUGCGCUUGUGGCAGAAGUAGCAUCUGUUGGCAAGCUGGAAUUUCUGUUUGGAGAGAUUAUCCUAUACGAGGCAUGAGUCAAGCAGUGCAGUCCAGUUGAAACAUGUCACUUUGAUAGGAUCUUGGGGUGAAAAGGAGCAAGACUGCAAUUUGGCCAAAAAUGCUAAGAUGUCAUUAAGUUCCCAGUCAUGAAGGUUUCUCAACCUUAUGUCCCAAUUGUUAUCUAAUAUGUUGGAUGCGAUGGUAGAAUCUGGUUCAGCUGCAAUGGUGUACAAACUUGGGAAUUUCUCACUCAAAGUUGUAUCCCAAAACCAUAUGUUAUAUUAAAAAAAAAUUAGUUCAUCUCCGAUGAUAUAUUCUU